AUGAACGCUGGCGGCGUGCUUUACACAUGCAAGUCGAGCGAGGCCAGGUAGCAAUACCUGAGUCGAGCGGCGCACGGGUGAGUAACGCGUGGAUAACCUGCCUGAUGGUGGGGGAUAACCCGGGGAAACUCGGGCUAAUACCGCAUAACACCGAGAGGUCAAAGGGGGCCGCAAGGCUCUCGCCUGCAGAGGGGUCCGCGUCCGAUUAGCUAGUUGGCAGGGUAAUGGCCUACCAAGGCGACGAUCGGUAGCCGGCCUGAGAGGGUGAUCGGCCACACUGGAACUGAGACACGGUCCAGACUCCUACGGGAGGCAGCAGUGGGGAAUUUUGCGCAAUGGGCGAAAGCCUGACGCAGCAACGCCGCGUGGAGGAUGAAGGUCUUCGGAUUGUAAACUCCUGUCAGUGGGGAAAAAGGGGAACGGGCUCAUACCCCGUUUCAUUGAUUGUACCCGCAGAGGAAGCCCCGGCUAACUCUGU
rnacentral:rRNA from 1 species